GAACUGAGAGUUUGAUCAUGGCUCAGAUUGAACGCUGGCGGCAGGCCUAACACAUGCAAGUCGAGCGGAUGAAGGGAGCUUGCUCCUGGAUUCAGCGGCGGACGGGUGAGUAAUGCCUAGGAAUCUGCCUGGUAGUG
rnacentral:rRNA from 1 species